rnacentral:rRNA from 1 species
CCUACGGGGGGCUGCAGUGGGGAAUAUUGGACAAUGGGGGCAACCCUGAUCCAGCCAUGCCGCGUGUGUGAAGAAGGCCCUCGGGUUGUAAAGCACUUUCAGUGAGGAAGAACGCCUGGUGGUUAAUACCCAUCAGGAAAGACAUCACUCACAGAAGAAGCACCGGCUAACUCCGUGCCAGCAGCCGCGGUAAUACGGAGGGUGCGAGCGUUAAUCGGAAUUACUGGGCGUAAAGCGCGCGUAGGUGGCUUGAUAAGCCGGUUGUGAAAGCCCCGGGCUCAACCUGGGAACGGCAUCCGGAACUGUCAAGCUAGAGUGCAGGAGAGGAAGGUAGAAUUCCCGGUGUAGAGGUGAAAUGCGUAGAGAUCGGGAGGAAUACCAGUGGCGAAGGCGGCCUUCUGGACUGACACUGACACUGAGGUGCGAAAGCGUGGGUAGCAAACAGGAUUAGAUACCCCAGUAGUC